CUCGAGGCGGCUCCAGGCAGCAGCGGCCCAGCCUGUCCCGGCGGUGCAGCCGUGGUGCACUGCACGGCCGUUGUAGGUUGGCGGAGCAGAACGGCAGGGCGGGGAUCGUAAAUGCUCCGCGCGCUCCCACCACACCGGUCCCGCCUUUUUUUUUUCUUUUUUUUCUUUCUUUUUUUUUUUUUUAAUAAUGUUGGCCUCCGGGGCAUCCAAGUCUCGUCACUUCCUCCCUCGAGGCACUUCCGGGCACAUGAUCCCUUCCUGAGCGCCGCUUUCUGUUGCCUGGGCGACGGCAGCUGCAGCCUGGUGGCGGCGUUUAGAACCUGUAUGGAAGCUGUCUUUCCGGCAGCGCUCGCCUGUGGUUCUUACGCCCCCUCAGGUCCCGACAGUCAGAGCGGGUGUGGGGAAAACAUUGAUGAGUGAGCAUGCUGCAGCAGAAAGAGCUGUGCCUGGUGAAUCGAAGAUAUCGAUGCAAAAAAGAUUUAACAGCAAAAGUCUCAUUACGGUUAAGCAGUCUGAGAGUGAUCAAAGGAACAAAGACAAGGGGCUGGAAACCCAGCCGACUUAAUCCCUGUGAAUAAACCUCUCCUACAACCUUCAACGGCUGCAUGAAUGACUAAGGUAUUUGUCCCCGUUGCAAAAUUCACUAAACUCAUUCUGGAAUCCAUGCAAACAAAGGGAAACAAUAAAGAGGCAUCAGGACGUAGUAUGGACUGAUUCGGGGAGAGGGAUUUUAGGACAGAACAAGAGAACUUGAGGAUUUGCAAGACUAUAGUUUGGGGUAAUAUCACAGAAAGGGAAAUGAUAUCAAGACACAUCAAAGAUGAACAAAUAUGAAAAAUGAGAAG
ensembl:lncRNA